rnacentral:rRNA from 1 species
GACGAACGCUGGCGGCGUGCUUAACACAUGCAAGUCGAACGGAUCAUGAUGCUUUCGGGUGUUGUGGUGAGUGGCGAACGGGUGAGUAACACGUGAGUAACCUGCCUCUGACUUUGGGAUAAGCCUGGGAAACUGGGUCUAAUACCGGAUAUUUCCUUGCUGCCGCAUGGUGGUGGGGGGAAAGUUUUUUCGGUCGGGGAUGGGCUCGCGGCCUAUCAGUUUGUUGGUGGGGUGAUGGCCUACCAAGGCGACGACGGGUAGCCGGCCUGAGAGGGCGACCGGCCACACUGGGACUGAGACACGGCCCAGACUCCUACGGGAGGCAGCAGGUGGGGAAUAUUGCGCAAUGGGCGAAGCCUGACGCAGCGACGCCGCGUGGGGA